rnacentral:rRNA from 1 species
UCCUACGGGGGGCAGCAGUAGGGAAUUUUCGUCAAUGGGCGCAAGCCUGAACGAGCAAUGCCGCGUGAACGAAGAAGGUCUUCGGAUCGUAAAACUCUGUUGUAGGGGAAGAAGAGCGGAGAGAGGAAAUGGUCUCCUUUUGAUAUUAUCUUUCGAGGAAGUCACGGCUAACUACGUGCCAGCAGCCGCGGUAAUACGUAGGUGGCGAGCGUUAUCCGGAAUGAUUGGGCGUAAAGGGUGCGUAGGCGGCCUUCUAAGUCUGGAGUGAAAG